rnacentral:rRNA from 1 species
CCUACGGGUGGCAGCAGUGAGGAAUAUUGGUCAAUGGACGAGAGUCUGAACCAGCCAAGUAGCGUGAAGGAUGACUGCCCUAUGGGUUGUAAACUUCUUUUAUAUGGGAAUAAAACGUUCCACGUGUGGGAUUUUGUAUGUACCAUAUGAAUAAGGAUCGGCUAACUCCGUGCCAGCAGCCGCGGUAAUACGGAGGAUCCGAGCGUUAUCCGGAUUUAUUGGGUUUAAAGGGAGCGUAGGUGGAUUGUUAAGUCAGUUGUGAAAGUUUGCGGCUCAACCGUAAAAUUGCAGUUGAAACUGGCAGUCUUGAGUACAGGAGAGGUGGGCGGAAUUCGGGGUGUAGCGGUGAAAUGCUUAGAUAUCACGAAGAACUCCGAUUGCGAAGGUAGUUCACUGGACUGCAACUGACACUGAGGCUCGAAAGUGUGGGUAUCAAACAGGAUUAGAUACCCGUGUAGUC